rnacentral:lncRNA from 1 species
CACACUCACACCUGCGCGAGCACUGGCUCAGUGUCCGCGUGCACUUUAAGAUUUAAAGUGGACAAAAAGGAGAGCUGGAGGAGCCAGAUUUAAGGUUCCCUUAAGAAGAGUGAGCCCCUUUCCCUCCUCAAUCGUGACUCUUCCUGGUGGGGUAAAAACGGGCACCACCCCACCCUUUUUAAAGAAAGGAACAAGAGAACAAGCCUUAAACCACUGGAGAACCUGUGCCACACAAUGCAGCGCUGGAUUCCCUUUCUUAGUGCGAUGCUGUCUCUCAGGUGUGAGAACCAGUAUUGCUGCUGAAGGGCGACCUUCCACACCUAAGGGUAGAGAGAGAGAUGGGGUGAGGGAGAUAAAGAAGACAUGGACGUUCCUCCUGCAGCUGAGGCGGCUUCUCGAGGGAUUGACCUCACUUCAGCAAGCAGCCUCCAUGCUCAGACUGGUGAGUUUGCGUGUGUUGGAGCAGAAUGACUCACAGCGUUCCUCAGGAAAGGCUGCAGUCUUCCCU